GUGAAUCAUCGAAUCUUUGAACGCACAUUGCGCCUCCGGGUAUUCCUAGAGGCAUGCUUGUUCGAGCGUCGUUAAAGACCAUAAGGCUUUGCCUUGCGAUGAGCCAUCGAUUUCUCUCUGAGUUUGAUGGUUUCAAACUGAUUGGCGUCUGAAGUUUAGCCCAAGCACAGCAAAAUGUGUCUGAAAGCGAAACGAGAAAGGAUUGCCGUUAAACAACAAAUAACAAAAGGUCGACCUCGGAUCAAGCAAGAUUACCCGCUGAACUUAAGCAUAUCAAUAAGCGGAGGA
rnacentral:misc_RNA from 1 species